GAAAUGCGAUAAGUAAUGUGAAUUGCAGAAUUCAGUGAAUCAUCGAAUCUUUGAACGCACAUUGCGCCCCCUGGUAUUCCGGGGGGCAUGCCUGUUCGAGCGUCAUUUCACCACUCAAGCCUCGCUUGGUAUUGGGCAACGCGGUCCGCCGCGUGCCUCAAAUCGACCGGCUGGGUCUUCUGUCCCCUAAGCGUUGUGGAAACUAUUCGCUAAAGGGUGCUCGGGAGGCUACGCCGUAAAACAAACCCAUUUCUAAGGUUGACCUCGGAUCAGGUAGGGAUACGCGCUAAACAUAAGC
rnacentral:misc_RNA from 1 species